AACGCAUAUUGCGCUCUUUGGUAUUCCGAAGAGCAUGCUUGUUUGAGUAUCAGUAAAACACUCAAAUCUUUUUUUUCUUGUAAAAAAAAAGAUUUGGUUUUGAGUAAUCCUAACGAAAAAGAAACUUUCUCUUUUGGCAGGUCACUUAAAAUUCAGGUGAAGUUGAACAUUCUUCUGAGCUAAAAGCAUAUCUAUUUAGUCCUAAUUAAUUAGGAUUAUUACUUUUUGCUGCAGCUUAAAUAAAGGUUGAUUGUUUAAUGACUGAUGCAGGAAUUUAUCAGUGGAAGCAAAAAAAAAAAAAUGCAGAAACUGUGAAUCUCGAUCUCAAAUCAAGUAAGACUACCCGCUGAACUUAA
rnacentral:misc_RNA from 1 species